rnacentral:rRNA from 1 species
GACGAACGCUGGCGGCGCGCCUUACGCAUGCAAGUCGCACGGACCUUCGGGUUAGUGGCGGACGGCUGAGUAACACGUAGGUAAUCUACCUUCGGGUGGGGAAUAACCCAGGGAAACUUGGGCUAACACCGCAUAAUGCAGCGGCACCACAUGGUGACAGUUGUUAAAGCGGGGGAUUUUAGGACCUCGCGCCUGGAGAGGAGCCUGCGGCGGAUUAGCUAGUUGGUAGGGUAACGGCUUACCAAGGCGACGAUCCGUAACCGGCCUGAGAGGGCGGUCGGUCACACUGACACUGACAUACGGGUCAGACUCCUACGGGAGGCAGCAGUCGGGAAUUUUGGGCAAUGGGCGAAAGCCUGACCCAGCAACGCCGCGUGAAGGAUGAAAUCCCUC